rnacentral:rRNA from 1 species
AUGCUAGUUUGGAAUGUCAGAGGCUUGAACUCGGCUGCUAGAAGAGGCGUAGUACGGAGAUUAGUGCAGCAGUUUAAUGUAUCCUUCGUGUGCUUCCAAGAAUCAAAAUUAUCAGAUGUUUUCGCGGAGAUUGUUCGGGAGUGCUGCGGGCCUGCCUUCACUGGUUUCUGUUUCCAGCCAGCGGACGGUACCCGGGGCGGGAUCAUCAUGGCAUGGAAAGACGAUGAG